AGAGAGCUUGCGCUCACCCGGCAGGAGCAAAAGGUCGGAGCAUUUGUGACUCCUGGCUUUUCCGUGGCUUAUGGCAAAAAUCACAUUCAUCUGAGACACAAAUGCAGUUUUAGGAUUUCUCCUGCGUGUAAAAUUUAAAGCGGAUAAAGUUGAAACCGGAUCCUUAAGUUUCUGUAAACAAAAAUGAUAGAGUGAAAAUGUAUUUCAAAAUUAGAAGAUGAAAGGCUUUUGAAGGGAUUCAGGUUCCUGUCUCGUUGGCUUCUGUUUCUGCCUUCGAGUUUGUCAAAAAUACCUAAAUACAACUGCCUUUUCACAGCAUUUUUUUUUAAAACAUGUUGGUGUUUUCUGAGUUAGGGAACCUGUCAAACUUCCCCAUGUUUUCCCAGCAAGUGUUUCCUCCCAUGGUUUUACACGCCGAUUUUCUCUGCUUCUGUCUUUUCAUUUUCAUCUUCCUUCUAAAACGUGCACGAGACCCAAGAUUGUAACAUUGUAAACACUCAAAUGCAUAUAUUGAGCGUCUACAGCUAUGAAGUACACUUACGACGUCACCUGACUCAACAUUUAACAAACGUUUUUAAAGGAAAGCAGCACAGUAAUUUUCUUCCCCGAGAGCAUUCACUAUUGGGAAUUAUCCACAUAUUUCAUUGCUACUGAUAUUUAAAAUGUCUUUGGAUCUCUCCUUUUGAAAUGCCCUUAGCAACCUGAAGAACAUUUAAAGUCCAUAAAUAUUCAGCAGCGUGGGCCAUCAGUCUUCAAGGGUGAUUGAGGGACAAGGGCAGAAUAUUUAUUUUUGAAAUAUAUAAAAAGACGUUCAGAACCAUAAAAGGUAAACUGGUUGUUUCCAAUAUUCUAUUUUUCGUCGGAGUCACAUGUUUGUGAGAAGAAAAUCGGAAAAGUAAGGCAGAAGCGGGAGAGAGCUGCACGACAUCAACUUGCAAAGAAAACCACAAAAUGGCCUCAGAGAUUGUUAGAAAAGUGUAGAGGAUUUCCACAGUGACAAAAAGCAUGCAAUUAUCUGCAACUCCUUGGCAGCCCAUGAAACACAGAUUUUGUAGACUUCCCUUUCUGUGACCAAGACGGUUUUCACGUUAGGAAGAUACAAUCUGAUGAGGGAUCGAAACCAACCAUUGAAUUCUAGAUGCUACUCGAGGACGCAUCCUAACUGCACAAGUUUCUUCAUGGCUCAACUCAAGACCCUGAGUGCUGUUCUUGGAAUAGAAAAAUCAAGUGGCUGACGUAUCAGACCUUGCCCUGGUUCUGCAGUGACACUCAUGUGAUCCUGACAAAUGACUUGGAGAAAAUGAAAAAAUUCUCAUUU
ensembl:lncRNA